rnacentral:rRNA from 1 species
CCUACGGGAGGCAGCAGUGGGGAAUAUUGCACAAUGGGGGGAACCCUGAUGCAGCGACGCCGCGUGGGGGAAGGAGGACUUCGGUACGUAAAGCCCUAUCAGCAGGGAAGAAAAUGACGGUAUCUGACUAAGAAGCACCGGCUAACUACGUGCCAGCAGCCGCGGUAAUACGUAGGGGGCAAGCGUUAUCCGGAUUUACUGGGUGUAAAGAGAGCGUAGGCGGGAGUGCAAGUCCGAAGUGAAAGCCCGGGGCUCAACCCUAGGACUGCACUGGAAACUGUAAAGCUGGAGUGCGGGAGGGGUAGGCGGAAUUCCUGGUGUAGCGGUGAAAUGCGUAGAGAUCAGGAGGAACACU